rnacentral:rRNA from 1 species
GACGAACGCUGGCGGCGUGCUUAACACAUGCAAGUCGAACGGAAAGGCCCUGCUUUUGUGGGGUGCUCGAGUGGCGAACGGGUGAGUAACACGUGAGUAACCUGCCCUUGACUUUGGGAUAACUUCAGGAAAAUGGGGCUCAUAUCGGAUAGGAGCUCCUGCUCCAUGGGGGGCGUUGGAAAGAUUCGGCGGUUGGGGCUCGACUCGCGGCUUAUCAGCUUGUUGGGGGGGUUGGGGUUUACCAGGGCUUUGACGGGUAGCCUGCCUGGGCGGGUGACCGGGCACCUUGGGACUGAGGUACGGCCCAGAAUCCAACGUGACGCAGCGGGGGGGAGUAUGGCGGAGUGGGCGGAAGCCUGAGACAGAGACGCCGCGUGCGUGAUGACGGCCUACGGGUUGUAAACCGCUGUCGCCUGUGACGAAGCGUGAGUGACGGUAAUGGGUAAAAAAGCACCGGCUAACUACGUG